UACGUAGGGUGCGAGCGUUGUCCGGAAUUAUUGGGCGUAAAGGGCUCGUAGACGGUUUGUCGCGUCGGGAGUGAAAACACACAGCUUAACUGUGUGCUUGCUUCCGAUACGGGCAGACUAGAGGUAUGCAGGGGAGAACGGAAUUCCUGGUGUAGCGGUGAAAUGCGCAGAUAUCAGGAGGAACACCGGUGGCGAAGGCGGUUCUCUGGGCAUUACCUGACGCUGAGGAGCGAAAGUGUGGGGAGGCGAACAGG
rnacentral:rRNA from 1 species